ACUCCUACGGGAGGCAGCAGUGGGGAAUAUUGCACAAUGGGCGCAAGCCUGAUGCAGCCAUGCCGCGUGUAUGAAGAAGGCCUUCGGGUUGUAAAGUACUUUCAGCAGUGAGGAAGGUGGGUAUGUUAAUAGCAUACUCAUUUGACGUUAGCUGCAGAAGAAGCACCGGCUAACUCCGUGCCAGCAGCCGCGGUAAUACGGAGGGUGCGAGCGUUAAUCGGAAUUACUGGGCGUAAAGCGCAUGCAGGUGGUUUGUUAAGUCAGAUGUGAAAGCCCGGGGCUCAACCUCGGAAUUGCAUUUGAAACUGGCAAACUAGAGUACUGUAGAGGGGGGUAGAAUUUCAGGUGUAGCGGUGAAAUGCGUAGAGAUCUGAAGGAAUACCGGUGGCGAAGGCGGCCCCCUGGACAGAUACUGACACUCAGAUGCGAAAGCGUGGGGAGCAAACAGGAUUAGAUACCCUGGUAAGCACUGC
rnacentral:rRNA from 1 species